rnacentral:rRNA from 1 species
CCUACGGGAGGCUGCAGUGGGGAAUAUUGUACAAUGGGCGCAAGCCUGAUGCAGCCAUGCCGCGUGUGUGAAGAAGGCCUUCGGGUUGUAAAGCACUUUCAGCGGGGAGGAAGGCGGUGAGGUUAAUAACCUCAUCGAUUGACGUUACCCGCAGAAGAAGCACCGGCUAACUCCGUGCCAGCAGCCGCGGUAAUACGGAGGGUGCAAGCGUUAAUCGGAAUUACUGGGCGUAAAGCGCACGCAGGCGGUCUGUCAAGUCGGAUGUGAAAUCCCCGGGCUCAACCUGGGAACUGCAUGCGAAACUUGCAGGCUAGAGGCUUGUAGAGGGGGGUAGAAUUCCAGGUGUAGCGGUGAAAUGCGUAGAGAUCUGGAGGAAUACCGGUGGCGAAGGCGGCCCCCUGGACAAAGACUGACGCUCAGGUGCGAAAGCGUGGGGAGCAAACAGGAUUAGAUACCCCGGUAGUC